GAUGAACGCUGGCGGCGUGCUUAACACAUGCAAGUCGAACGAUUAAACUGGCUUCGGCCAGAUAUAGAGUGGCGAACGGGUGAGUAACACGUGACCAACCUGCCCCGCGCUCCGGGACAACCGCUGGAAACGGCGGCUAAUACCGGAUGCUCCGGGGAGGCCCCAUGGCCUCCCCGGGAAAGCCUUAACGGCGCGGGAUGGGGUCGCGGCCCAUUAGGUAGACGGCGGGGUAACGGCCCACCGUGCCCGCGAUGGGUAGCCGGACUGAGAGGUCGACCGGCCACAUUGGGACUGAGAUACGGCCCAGACUCCUACGGGAGGCAGCAGUGGGGAAUUUUGCGCAAUGGGGGAAACCCUGACGCAGCAACGCCGCGUGCGGGACGAAGGCCUUCGGGUUGUAAACCGCUUUCAGCAGGGAAGACAUAGAC
rnacentral:rRNA from 1 species